rnacentral:lncRNA from 1 species
AGAGAGACACAGCAAGAGAGGGAACACAAGACAGGGAGUGGGAGAGGAAGAAGCAAGCUUUCCACCAAGUAGGGAGCCCAACGCAGGGCCCAAUCCCAGGACCCCAGGAUCAUGACCCAAGCCGAAGGCAGACACCCAAUGACUAAGCCACCCAGGUACCCCUCCGUUAUUACUUUUUAAUUCAUGUAUUUCAAGGCUCUGUUUUUAGGUGCAUAUGUAUUUAUAGUUAUGUCUUCAUAACAGAUUAACCCUUUUAUCAUUAUAAUGUAUAUAUUUUUGGCUCUAAUAAUGAUUUUUGUCCUAAAAUCUAUUUUUUCUGACAUUAGUAAAACCAUUCUAGCUCUGUUUGGGGUCCUGUUUGUAUUGAUAGGGAAAAACUGUACACUAAGAUGGCUGACCAACCCAGCAAGGGAAUUCCAGUCCCUGUCUCAAAGCCCUCCCAGGUUCUCCUUUCCUACCAUCUUUCCCACACAUGCCGAAUGUACCAAGUAUAUGGAAGUAGAAGGGUAUACAUUACCAUCUAGCUCGGGCUCAGACCUUUGGAGAACAACCUCCUCUGAGCCUACAGUGUUAAAUAAACCUCCAGUCCUCCAAAGUCUCCGAGUGCCACUUGGUUCUUCCAUCAGGAUCCAGUUCAGGCUCCGUAACAGUAUAUUUUUCCAUUCUUUUCCUCUCAGGUUAUUUGUGGCUUUGAAUUCACAGGGAUCAAGCCCUGCAUCGAGUCCUGCGUCAGGCUCUCUGCUUGGGUAGAUUCUUUCCAGGAGAAUUUAAUAAUUAAGGGUCAGCUCUGGGCCAGCUGGCAGCCUCUGUGGUCCCUCACAAGGUGGCACAUCCACGGAAGACCGAGUCUAGCUGUCUCCCCUCUUGAUUCAAGUCAUCCAAGGAUCCUUUUCUUGAAAGUCAUGAAACUAACACAACGGACUGUCAGGGUCAGCAACAGCAGGCGCUUGCUCUGUUUUGUUUUAAAAUUUAAAAAGCUUUUCUUAUGCUGGAACAAAUGCGUAUCUGAGGUUGCUAAAAGACUCACUGCCAAGCCAGUUUUGCAUACAGUCUAAACUGGGAAAGGAGCCCUUGUUGGGAUGAUGGCCAAGGAGCUGGUCAGUUGUGGAUGUAGCUUAAAAGGUCAUUGGCUUACUCGCAAGAAUGCUGGCAGCCUCAACAUUUGCUACAAAUUCCUCUCAUUAGUCAAUUGUUUUUUAAUUUCUUUCCCACUGUUAAACCCAAGAAUGUCUUUUGCCUGAGUGUACUAUUCUCAGCUGAUCUCUUUUCCCUGAGAUGUUAGGAAUGAGGCCUUGCAGCAUCCUCUGUGAGUCACAGGUCAGGAGGCAGGAAGUCUUUCAAGUUCUUUGCAUACAGCCUCUAUCCUCCCUGUCUCAGAAGGGCAUUGAUAGCAUUUCUGAGCCUUAGACCCAGAAGUAUCAGAAUUAGAAAGGAUCUCAGAAAGCCUUCUGAGAGAGUUAUGAACCAUGCUGGUUUCCCUGGUACUAAAAGCUUGCUGGGACAUAGAACUUUCAGUGCUGAAACGGGGACUCCUAAGCAAACUGGGAUACGUGGUCACACUACACUGGUUUUUUGUUGUUGUUGUUGGUUUACACUUAACUGUUCUGCAGAGAAGAAACUGCGGCCCAGGAGUCUGACUUGCCCAAGCUAACAGAAUUAGUCAGUGGCAGAUCUCGAAUUAGAAUCCAGAUCCAUGGGUGCUAGAAUCCAGUUCCUUUUCUUUGCUGGUACUUCCUUAUAUUCAGUCACAGGGUGCAUCGCGCACAAUAGGUGCUUAUGUUUUUGUUGUGGUUGUUUUCUGAGUUCAAGGGCAUUGAUUUUUGCAGAUACAGUAAUUCUUAAUUCACUCAAGGUCCCCAUGAAUCAAUUGUGAAACCAGGUCUCUGGUUUCUAGACUCUGAACAGAACAGGGUGAACAAAGGGGAGGAAAGCUCAGUGAGGAAUAGAAGUGCUUGUGCAGGGACGCCUGGGUGGCUCAGUUGGUUGGACGACUGCCUUCGGCUCUGGUCAUGAUCCUGGAGUCCCGGGAUCGAGUCCCACAUCGGACUCCCAGCUCCAUGGGGAGUCUGCUUCUCUCUCUGACCUUCUCCUCAUUCAUGN